rnacentral:rRNA from 1 species
UCCAUAGGUUAAUGAGGCGAACCGGGGGAACUGAAACAUCUAAGUACCCCGAGGAAAAGAAAUCAACCGAGAUUCCCCCAGUAGCGGCGAGCGAACGGGGAGCAGCCCAGAGCCUGAAUCAGUGUGUGUGUUAGUGGAAGCGUCUGGAAAGGCGUGCGAUACAGGGUGACAGCCCCGUACACAAAAAUGCACAUAUUGUGAGCUCGAUGAGUAGGGCGGGACACGUGGUAUCCUGUCUGAAUAUGGGGGGACCAUCCUCCAAGGCUAAAUACUCCUGACUGACCGAUAGUGAACCAGUACCGUGAGGGAAAGGCGAAAAGAACCCCGGCGAGGGGAGUGAAAAAGAACCUGAAACCGUGUACGUACAAGCAGUGGGAGCACGCUUAGGCGUGUGACUGCGUACCUUUUGUAUAAUGGGUCAGCGACUUAUAUUCUGUAGCAAGGUUAACCGAAUAGGGGAGCCGAAGGGAAACCGAGUCUUAACUGGGCGUUAAGUUGCAGGGUAUAGACCCGAAACCCGGUGAUCUAGCCAUGGGCAGGUUGAAGGUUGGGUAACACUAACUGGAGGACCGAACCGACUAAUGUUGAAAAAUUAGCGGAUGACUUGUGGCUGGGGGUGAAAGGCCAAUCAAACCGGGAGAUAGCUGGUUCUCCCCGAAAGCUAUUUAGGUAGCGCCUCGUGAAUUCAUCUCCGGGGGUAGAGCACUGUUUCGGCAAGGGGGUCAUCCCGACUUACCAACCCGAUGCAAACUGCGAAUACCGGAGAAUGUUAUCACGGGAGACACACGGCGGGUGCUAACGUCCGUCGUGAAGAGGGAAACAACCCAGACCGCCAGCUAAGGUCCCAAAGUCAUGGUUAAGUGGGAAACGAUGUGGGAAGGCCCAGACAGCCAGGAUGUUGGCUUAGAAGCAGCCAUCAUUUAAAGAAAGCGUAAUAGCUCACUGGUCGAGUCGGCCUGCGCGGAAGAUGUAACGGGGCUAAACCAUGCACCGAAGCUGCGGCAGCGACGCUGAUGCGUUGUUGGGUAGGGGAGCGUUCUGUAAGCCUGUGAAGGUGUGCUGUGAGGUAUGCUGGAGGUAUCAGAAGUGCGAAUGCUGACAUAAGUAACGAUAAAGCGGGUGAAAAGCCCGCUCGCCGGAAGACCAAGGGUUCCUGUCCAACGUUAAUCGGGGCAGGGUGAGUCGACCCCUAAGGCGAGGCCGAAAGGCGUAGUCGAUGGGAAACAGGUUAAUAUUCCUGUACUUGGUGUUACUGCGAAGGGGGGACGGAGAAGGCUAUGUUGGCCGGGCGACGGUUGUCCCGGUUUAAGCGUGUAGGCUGGUUUUCCAGGCAAAUCCGGAAAACUAAGGCUGAGGCGUGAUGACGAGGCACUACGGUGCUGAAGCAACAAAUGCCCUGCUUCCAGGAAAAGCCUCUAAGCAUCAGGUAACAUCAAAUCGUACCCCAAACCGACACAGGUGGUCAGGUAGAGAAUACCAAGGCGCUUGAGAGAACUCGGGUGAAGGAACUAGGCAAAAUGGUGCCGUAACUUCGGGAGAAGGCACGCUGAUAUGUAGGUGAAGUCCCUCGCGGAUGGAGCUGAAAUCAGUCGAAGAUACCAGCUGGCUGCAACUGUUUAUUAAAAACACAGCACUGUGCAAACACGAAAGUGGACGUAUACGGUGUGACGCCUGCCCGGUGCCGGAAGGUUAAUUGAUGGGGUCAGCGCAAGCGAAGCUCUUGAUCGAAGCCCCGGUAAACGGCGGCCGUAACUAUAACGGUCCUAAGGUAGCGAAAUUCCUUGUCGGGUAAGUUCCGACCUGCA